rnacentral:rRNA from 1 species
AAUCGAAGCAGUGAACUUAAGCCCCAGUAAACGGCGGCCGUAACUAUAACGGUCCUAAGGUAGCGAAAUUCCUUGUCGGGUAAGUUCCGACCCGCACGACAGGCGUAACGAUUUGGGCACUGUCUCAACAACAGACUCGGUGAAAUUGUAAUUCCGGUGAAGAUGCCGGAUACCUGCGACAGGACGGAAAGACCCCAUGGAGCUUUACUGUAGCUUGACAUUGGGUCUUGGUACUACAUGUA